AGAACACUAACAAAAAUACUUCCAUUUAUCACAAUUUUAUCUUAACGACCCUUUUCUUCCUUUCCAACUCUUCAUCCAAUUAUCAUAAUGCAAUAGCUAUUGGUGAUGGUGAUAAAUCAUCUAAAAUUGAUAAAAAUUACAAUGAUAUUGUUGUUGCAUCAAAGAGAAUUUCAGAUGAAUUGCGACGACGUCGAAUGGAGCGCUGCUCUUGCUAUCCUUCUUGUGCUUUUCCAU
rnacentral:lncRNA from 1 species